UACGGGGGGGGCAAGCGUUGUUCGGAAUUACUGGGCGUAAAGCGCGCGCAGGCGGCUAUCCAAGUCAGUGGUGAAAGCCCGGAGCUCAACUCCGGAACUGCCAUUGAAACUGUUUAGCUUGAGGAUGAGAGAGGUGAGUGGAAUUCCCAGUGUAGAGGUGAAAUUCGUAGAUAUUGGGAAGAACACCGGUGGCGAAGGCGGCUCACUGGCUCAUUACUGACGCUCAGGCGCGAUAGCGUGGGGAUCAAACAGG
rnacentral:rRNA from 1 species